rnacentral:rRNA from 1 species
UACGUAGGUGGCGAGCGGUGUCCGGAUUUACUGGGCGUAAAGGGUGCGUAGGCGGAUAUUUAAGUGGGAUGUGAAAUACCCGGGCUCAACUUGGGUGCUGCAUUCCAAACUGGAUAUCUAGAGUGCGGGAGAGGAGAGUGGAAUUCCUAGUGUAGCGGUGAAAUGCGUAGAGAUUAGGAAGAACACCAGUGGCGAAGGCGACUCUCUGGACCGUAACUGACGCUGAGGCACGAAAGCGUGGGGAGCAAACAGG